AUCGAAUAUUCAUUCUUUAAAAGAUGAACAGAGAACUUUUCACUGCCGUUAUCCAAUAUGUCGGCUGUUCUGUUUUGGAUUUCCCCAGCGUCGCUCUCAUCAGCGUCACGGGUUGAUUUCGAUGCCCCACCUUCUGAAAUACAUCUCCUAUUGAGAAAUCCCAGAUCUUUGUGUGGAGCUCAGCGAACUACGAGGAUCUGACGAGAGUCAGGUUAGGAGUCCACAGCCCUAUGUGAAAUAUGGGAUGCUGGCAGGAGACUUCAUGUUGGCAACAAACAUCCUCCUCUCCGGAAGCAACUAUGCCAAAGUGUCACUGUUGUUUCAAUUUAUGAACAUGGGGAUGGUGGAUCAUAGUUCCUUCUUCACAGCGCAGGACACAUACCUUGUGGUCACUUCGAAAGAGUUUUGGUAGGAGAGGAGGGCCAGGGCCAUACAUUGUCUAAAAGACAAAGAUGUUGUGAUCGUAGGGGAUGGAAGAGUGGACAAUCCCGGACUUUGAGCCCAGUACUGUACCUACACUGCAAUGGAGAAUGAUUCCAGGGAAAUAAUUAUCUGUCAUCACUGUGGACAAAAGGGCGACCGGUCGAAAUGUGGUGUUAAUGGAGAGAGAGGCAUUUGUGAGGACAGUUAUCAUAAUCUCACACUGCUACCAAAGAGCACCUGUCAUACAGUUCAGGCCAAACAAAGCACUCUUCCUUAUACACUUUUCGCAACUAACUUUGGUUUCUAUGUAUCUGUCCUCAGUUCCAGCAUUUCAGACUGAAGACUCAUGAAGCCCAGUUUCAAGAGACAUUCUAACUGGGCUGUUAUUAUUGACAUUGAACAUUGUGUCACAACCUGCCUAUCAACUGCUGGUUGUGUGGUCAUCUGUUUAUC